GAAACUCUGACCCAGCGACGCCGCGUGCGGGAUGAAGGCCUUCGGGUUGUAAACCGCUUUCAGUAGGGAAGAAGCGAAAGUGACGGUACCUACAAAAGAAGCACCGGCUAACUAUGUGCCAGCAGCCGCGGUAAUACAUAGGGUGCAAGCGUUGUCCGGAAUUAUUGGGCGUAAAGAGCUCGUAGGUCGUUUGUUACGUCGGAUGUGAAAACCUGAGGCUCAACCUCAGGCCUGCAUUCGAUACGGGCAAACUAGAGUUUGGUAGGGGAGACUGGAAUUCCUGGUGUAGCGGUGGAAUGCGCAGAUAUCAGGAGGAACACCAAUGGCGAAGGCAGGUCUCUGGGCCAAUACUGACACUCGAGGAGCGAAAGUCUGGGGAGCGAACAGGAUUAGAUACCCUGGUAGUCCAGACCGUAAACGGUGGGCACUAGUUGUGGGAACCUUCCACGGUUUCUGCGACGCAGCUAACGCAUUAAGUGCCCCGCCUGGGGAGCUAC
rnacentral:rRNA from 1 species